AACAGGAUUAGAUACCCUGGUAGUCCACGCCCUAAACGAUGUCUACUAGUUGUCGGGUUUUAAUUAACUUGGUAACGCAGCUAACGCGUGAAGUAGACCGCCUGGGGAGUACGGUCGCAAGAUUAAAACUCAAAGGAAUUGACGGGGACCCGCACAAGCGGUGGAUGAUGUGGAUUAAUUCGAUGCAACGCGAAAAACCUUACCUACCCUUGACAUGUACGGAAUCCUUGAGAGAUCAGGGAGUGCUCGAAAGAGAGCCGUAACACAGGUGCUGCAUGGCUGUCGUCAGCUCGUGUCGUGAGAUGUUGGGUUAAGUCCCGCAACGAGCGCAACCCUUGUCAUUAGUUGCUACGAAAGGGCACUCUAAUGAGACUGCCGGUGACAAACCGGAGGAAGGUGGGGAUGACGUCAAGUCCUCAUGGCCCUUAUGGGUAGGGCUUCACACGUCAUACAAUGGUACAUACAGAGGGCCGCCAACCCGCGAGGGGGAGCUAAUCCCAGAAAGUGUAUCGUAGUCCGGAUCGCAGUCUGCAACUCGACUGCGUGAAGUUGGAAUCGCUAGUAAUCGCGGAUCAGCAUGUCGCGGUGAAUACGUUCCCGGGUCUUGUACACACCGCCCGUCACACCAUGGGAGCGGGUUUUACCAGAAGUAGGUAGCUUAACCGUAAGGGGGGCGCUUACCACGGUAGGAUUCGUGACUGGGGUGAAGUCGUAACAAGGUAACC
rnacentral:rRNA from 1 species